CCUACGGGUGGCUGCAGUGGGGAAUAUUGCACAAUGGGCGCAAGCCUGAUGCAGCCAUGCCGCGUGUGUGAAGAAGGCCUUCGGGUUGUAAAGCACUUUCAGCGGGGAGGAAGGCGGUGAGGUUAAUAACCUCAUCGAUUGACGUUACCCGCAGAAGAAGCACCGGCUAACUCCGUGCCAGCAGCCGCGGUAAUACGGAGGGUGCAAGCGUUAAUCGGAAUUACUGGGCGUAAGGCGCACGCAGGCGGUCUGUCAAGUCGGAUGUGAAAUCCCCGGGCUCAACCUGGGAACUGCAUUCGAAACUGGCAGGCUAGAGUCUAGUAGAGGGGGGUAGAAUUCCAGGUGUAGCGGUGAAAUGCGUAGAGAUCUGGAGGAAUACCGGUGGCGAAGGCGGCCCCCUGGACAAAGACUGACGCUCAGGUGCGAAAGCGUGGGGAGCAAACAGGAUUAGAUACCCUUGUAGUC
rnacentral:rRNA from 1 species